CUCAGUUGGUUGUUGGGGGUGAAUUGCAACCAGACGGUGAGGUUAGUGACUCGGGAUGCACCGCACUACCUUUCGGCCCCUUCUUCUGAUCGCAUUCCGAACCCCGGUUGUGUAAACGUUGUCAACUUGUGUGCCAUGUGGAUGGUGAGAAGCAGCCCUUGAAGACAAUGAAAUGUGAGGGAUUCAGCUUCAUGCUGGCCAAGAGCAAUGGAUGUGCAUUCAUUGACAACUGGGACCUCUUCUAUGGUGGCAAGAGCACCUUGUAUGCCAGGGAUGGAGUGCGUUUAUCAUGCCAGGGUGUUUGAAUUUGGCUGGAACACUUGAGUGGGAGGGACAAGAAUUGGCUGAUGGACUAUUACCUUCCAAAGAACUGUGGUAGAGACAGACAACAACACAGAUGACAUGAAGCAUGGAAGCAACACUUUGGCACAUCUAUGACUUCCUUGCACUGUGUGCCAAGAACAGCAACAGCAUGGCUCUGGCAACACUCCACUGCCUCAACAAAUCUCGGAUGUCUAUGAGAUGAUGAGUCCCCAGAGGGUCACGAAUCUCAGCAGGUGUGAAGUACAGAUGACCGAAGACUGUGACUCACAACUUUGUAUCCAUUUACUUGCAUCCUGUAUAAUUGGGCCAUGUGCGCAGGGUGAAUCAAUUGUAGCUGAGUACUAAUAAAGAUAAAUAACAAUGUAUCAGUA
rnacentral:misc_RNA from 1 species